CUGUGUGCGGUGGGGUGGCAGUGUAUGUUAGCUGGUUGAAACUCUUAACAUCAGCUAACAUGCAAUUGCUAUCCUGCUCCACAUACC
rnacentral:pre_miRNA from 1 species